AACGGCCAUACCAUGCUGAAUAUACCGGUUCUCGUUAGAUCACCGAAGUCAAGCAUCACUGGGCGCGGUCAGUACUUGGGUGGGGGACCACCUGGGAACACCGCGUGCCGUU
rnacentral:rRNA from 1 species